rnacentral:rRNA from 1 species
GCAACCUGCCCCGAAGACCGGAAUAACACCGGGAAACCGGUGCUAAUACCGGAUGCCCCCACCGGGCCGCAUGACCUGGUGAGGAAAUGGAUUCCGCUUCGGGAGGGGCUCGCGGCCUAUCAGCUUGUUGGUGGGGUAACGGCCCACCAAGGCUUCGACGGGUAGCUGUUCUGAGAGGACGAUCAGCCACACUGGGACUGAGACACGGCCCAGACUCCUACGGGAGGCAGCAGUGGGGAAUCUUGCGCAAUGGGCGAAAGCCUGACGCAGCAACGCCGCGUGAGGGACGAAGGCUUUCUGAGUUGUAAACCUCUUUCAGCAGGAACGAUAGUGACGGUACCUGCAGAAGAAGCACCGGCCAAC